AUGAACGCUGGCGGCGUGCUUAACACAUGCAAGUCGUACGAGAAAGCCUUGGCUUGCCGAGGCGAGUAAGGUGGCGCACGGGUGAGUAACGCGUGGGGUAUCCUGCCUUCGAAUUUGGGAUAACACCCCGAAAGGGGUGCUAAUACCGGAUAAUAUCGUUUGCAUUGCAGUGCGAGCGAUCAAAGACAGCCUCUACAUGUAAGCUGUUGUUUGAAGGUGGGCCCGCGUACCAUUAGCUUGUUGGUGGGGUAAUGGCCUACCAAGGCGACGAUGGUUAGCUGGUCUGAGAGGAUGAUCAGCCACACUGGAACUGGAACACGGUCCAGACUCCUACGGGAGGCAGCAGUGAGGAAUUUUGCGCAAUGGGGGAAACCCUGACGCAGCAACGCCGCGUGAGUGAUGAAGGAUUUCGGUUCGUAAAGCUCUGUCAAGUGGGAAGAAGUUAUUUAUGGUGAAUAGCCAUAGGUAUUGACGGUACCACUGAAGGAAGCACCGGCUAACUCCGUGCCAGCAGCCGCGGUAAUACGGAGGGUGCAAGCGUUAUUCGGAUUUACUGGGCGUAAAGGGCGCGUAGGCGGCCUGACAAGUCAGAUGUGAAAGCCUGGGGCUCAACCCCGGAAGUGCAUUUGAAACUGUUUGGCUUGAGUAUGGUAGAGGGAAGUGGAAUUCCAGGUGUAGCGGUGAAAUGCGUAGAUAUCUGGAGGAACACCGGUGGCGAAAGGCGACUUCCUGGACCAAAACUGACGCUGAGGCGCGAAAGGUGUGGGUAGCCAAACAUGAUCAGAUACCAUGGUAGUCAAAGGGCAACUUCGCGGCCCGCUUAUAUUCCAUUUCGCCUCUAUAAUGGAGCUCGCAAUAUACUG
rnacentral:rRNA from 1 species